ACGGUACCGUAAGAAUAAGCACCGGACUACUACGUGCCAGCAGCCGCGGUAAUACGUAGGGUGCAAGCGUUAAUCGGAUUACUGGGCGUAAAGCGUGCGCAGGCGGUUUUGUAAGACAGUGGUGAAAUCCCCGGGCUCAACCUGGGAACUGCCAUUGUGACUGCAAGGCUGGAGUGCGGCAGAGGGGGAUGGAAUUCCGCGUGUAGCAGUGAAAUGCGUAGAUAUGCGGAGGAACACCGAUGGCGAAGGCAAUCCCCUGGGCCUGCACUGACGCUCAUGCACGAAAGCGUGGGGAGCAAACAGGAUUAGAUACCCUGGUAGUCCACGCCCUAAAACGAUGUCAACUGGUUGUUGGGAAUUUAUUUUCUCAGUAACGAAGCUAACGCGUGAAGUUGACCGCCUGGGGAGUACGGCCGCAAGGUUAAAAACUCAAAGGAAUUGACGG
rnacentral:rRNA from 1 species